UCUAAUCUUGAUCCACAACCAAGAAUCUGAGAGACGCGACAAAUAGUAAACAUACCUGGAUUAUGCCCAAAAGGUCCUCUAGGAGCUCCAGGGUUAGAUCAAUCUGUAUAAGAAUGAACAAUUUUAUAAAGAAAUUGAGAACACUAUAUAGAUUUGAUAAGAUUAAACAUGGGGAACCAUAGAGAUGCCCCACCAAACAGUUGCAUUGAGUUUUAUACGACAAAGAUAUGCUCCAAAGCCAACCUUUGCAGUCACUUGGGUCAUCCAAGGCGCUAGCACACCAGAGCACAGGUCAAUCAGAAGACAUGCAGCCUUAACCUGCAGAGUAAAUGCAUCUUAAGCAUUUUUUUUUUUUCAUUUUUUUCAUCGAACAGCUCUCAGGCAGUUUCUUUCUGUGACAAAGAUUGAACUGGAACCCAAAACCUUGUAUUGAUUGAAAAUACCAAAUCUUAUUAUUUAGAUAUUUUAACAUUAUCAUUCUCUGCCAAAGGGUGUGCUAGUGUGUGAGUAAGAAUGUGUGUGAGAGAGGGAGAGAGAGAUUCAUAAAGAGAUUAAUAGUCUUAUGCUGUUGUUGAUGAAAAAUAUAAAAAGGCACUUCAAUGAAAUGCACUGGAGAUAACUAACAUGAGAUGGUGAAAAUGAUGAUAAAUAACCAGCACAAGCAUGAAGCAGGGAAUGGUACAAUGGAGAAGAUGACGUUGCAACAAUCUGCAAUAGGAAGCAUUAUUGUUAGCAUAACAUAACAGAAAAAGAUUUAAAAUCCAAUAAGGAUCAUGUCAACUAAAUGAACUUGGACACAAAUAAAACCAAUACAACUGAGAAGCAGCUUGCUGCACAAAUGCUUGUUUCCACUGGGAAAGAUUAUCAUCAAUAUGAUCAGAAGGGCUACUCACAUAUGGACGAAGAGCUACCAUACACGAGAGGAAGUGGGAAUGUCAGAUUUCACAAAGCAUUAUUUGAAAGAAGAGACCAGCUACCUUAAAAGUUUUAAUAAGCUUUGCCAUGAAUGUUAAAAUGACUGAUAAUACUUGCUAGAAUGUCGACAAUGUUAGAUAGGAAAUUAAGUAGACUUAGUUUAGAGCAUAUAUAUUAAUCAUAUCAUAAUUAAUCUAUUCACUCACUGACAUGUAACAAGUCAAAAGCAUAUUCAUAUUACAAGGUCCCAUUUGUUUCAAUUAUCAUUUUAUUUCUAGUUAAUUCCUACUCUUAAUCUUCAUAUUACUUUCUUUCAUCAUAUUGAAAAGAAGUGUUGAUAUUAUUUCUUUUUACCUAUUGUUUUACCUAUCUUCUGUUUUUUGACUUUUUCCAUCCUACUUGAAUUUCUCAACAAUGUGACCCCAAAUCCUACAAAGUUUAAUGUGGGAUCCCCGUAGAUUAGAAAAAAAAGGAAAAUUGCGAGGAAAGAGUUGGACUUGCUACAGACAUACCAGAGAAGACUCUUGACUACCAGCUAUAGGGGCCAUAUAGGCCACAGACACAUUAAAGAAAUCAUGUCACAGUUCUACAUGGCAGAAUUAACAUAUAGAUUAAGAAUAAGAAUUAGCUAAAGAUAGAAUGAGAAAUGAACCAAAUGAGCCUCGAUCUCCUUUCCACAUCCAUAUUUUAAUUUCCUUCCCAGAAUCUCAACAUGAAAAUAGACUUCUCUGGAAAUGAUAUAACAUAAACAUGGAUUGUAUUAAACAUUUCACCUGGCAGCAAAGCUUGUACAAGCGGUAAUGCAGACCAGAAGUCUGAAGUUCCCUCUGCCAAGUUACUGCAGAACUGAGGCUGUAAGCAUAUAGAAGCUAAUUAUAAAUUCAUGACACAGAAGAUAGGAAGCAGAAACAAGUCCUAAAGGAAUAAGGCAAAUGCUUCAAAAGAUGUUUUAUUCAUUAAUAGUAAAUGACCUGUGACGCACAAGCAUAGAGAACAUGUAAAAUCCCUUCUUCUGCUGCCCCCACAUCUAAGAUGUGAAGAACCCUAUAAUCCCAUUGAUCAUUGACCAACUGGAAUUCUUCUCCGAACAAGGUUGAGUAAUCAACCAUAUGAGGAGGAUUAAACAAUUCAGAUCUUGAUGUCUCUUCCAAAACUUGGGUGGAAGAAGUUGGCUCUUCUUGUACCGUUACAGGGUCUAUAAGCUUCUGCAGGAUUCUAG
rnacentral:lncRNA from 1 species